rnacentral:tRNA from 1 species
GCCUUCGUGGUGUAGUGGUCAGCAUGCUCGACGUGGAUUCCAGAGGUUCGUGGUUCGAGUCUCGGCGAAGGCA